rnacentral:rRNA from 1 species
UUCCUACGGGAGGCAGCAGUAGGGAAUCUUCCGCAAUGGACGAAAGUCUGACGGAGCAACGCCGCGUGAGUGAUGAAGGCUUUCGGGUCGUAAAACUCUGUUGUUAGGGAAGAACAAGUGCUAGUUGAAUAAGCUGGCACCUUGACGGUACCUAACCAGAAAGCCACGGCUAACUAC